UUAAUGAGGGGAGGAAAAGAAACUAACAAGGAUUUUCUUAGUAGCGGCGAGCGAAAAGAAAAUAGUUCAGCACUAAGUCACUUUGUCUUUAUGGCAAAUGUGAGAUGCAGUGUAUGGAAUGUCAAAUUUCUAGUAUGAGAAAUUAACGAUUUAAGUCCUUCUUAAAUGAGGCCAUUUACCCAAAGAGGGUGCCAGGCCCGUAUAACGUUAAUGAUUACUAGAUGGCAUUUCCAAAGAGUCGUGUUGCUUGAUAGUGCAGCACUAAGUGGGUGGUAAACUCCAUCUAAAACUAAAUAUAACCAUGAGACCGAUAGUAAACAAGUACCGUGAGGGAAAGUUGAAAAGAACUCUGAAUAGAGAGUUAAAUAGUACGUGAAACUGCUUAGAGGUUAAGCCCGAUGAACCUGAAUAUCCAUUAUGGAAAAUUCAUCAUUAUGAUUUUAAUAUUUGUAAUAUUAUAAUAAUGGUGUGCAUUUUUUCUAUAAAGGACAUUGUAAUCUAUUAACUUUAAUAUAUUUAUCAUAAGAUCAUUAGAUUAUGUUUAUUCAAAUUAUUUUGCUUGCAAUUUAAUAUCGAAUAAAUUCUUUUGAUUUGAUAAAGUGUUGAUAGAUUUAUUAUAUACAGUGCUUAAAUAUUUAUAUUUUAUAAUAUCAUAUUAAUCAAUGAUUUUUAUGUUCAUUAUAUGCACUUGUAUGAUUAACAAUGCGAAAGAUUCAGGAUACCUUCGGGACCCGUCUUGAAACACGGACCAAGGAGUCUAACAUAUUUGCAAGUUAUUGGGAAUAAAAACCUAAUAGCGAAAUUAACAUAACUUUAAUGGGAUUAGUUUUUAGCCUAUUUAUAGUCUAUUAAUUCAAUCCCGGGGCGUUCUAUACAGUUAUGUAUAAUAAUAUUUAUAUUAUUUAUACCUCUAACUAGAGCGUACCUUGAGCAUAUAUGCUGUGACCCGAAAGAUGGUGAACUAUACUUGAUCAGGUUGAAGUCAGGGGAAACCCUGAUGGAAGACCGAAACAGUUCUGACGUGCAAAUCGAUUGUCAGAAUUGAGUAUAGGGGCGAAAGACCAAUCGAACCAUCUAGUAGCUGGUUCCCUCCGAAGUUUCCCUCAGGAUAGCUGGUGCAUUUAAAAAUUAUGUAAAAUAAUCUUAUCUGGUAAAGCGAAUGAUUAGAGGCCUUAGGGUCGAAACGAUCUUAACCUAUUCUCAAACUUUAAAUGGGUAAGAACCUCACCUUUCUUGGUAUGAAGGUUGUGGUUGUGAUAUAAUGUGCCCAGUGGGCCACUUUUGGUAAGCAGAACUGGCGCUGUGGGAUGAACCAAACGUAAUGUUACGGUGCCCAAAUUAACAACUCAUGCAGAUACCAUGAAAGGCGUUGGUUGCUUAAAACAGCAGGACGGUGGACAUGGAAGUCGUAAUCCGCUAAGGAGUGUGUAACAACUCACCUGCCGAAGCAACUAGCCCUUAAAAUGGAUGGCGCUUAAGUUGUAUACCUAUACAUUACCGCUAAAGUAGAUGGUUUAUAUUCAAUCUCGGUUGGAUUUUAAACUUUGAAACUUUAUUGAGUAGGAGGGUACAAUGGUAAGCAUAGAAGUGUUUGGCGUAAGCCUGCAUGGAGCUGCCAUUGGCACAGAUCU
rnacentral:rRNA from 1 species